GGGCGGUCUCCUCCCAAAGCGUAACGGAGGAGCACAAAGGUGGGCUAAGCAUGGUCGGACAUCAUGCGGUUAGUGUAAUGGCACAAGCCCGCUUAACUGCGAGACAGACACGUCGAGCAGGUACGAAAGUAGGUCAUAGUGAUCCGGUGGUUCUGUAUGGAAGGGCCAUCGCUCAACGGAUAAAAGGUACGCCAGGGAUAACAGGCUAAUCAUUCUUUAGAGACCCUAUCGAUGGAGUGGUUUGGCACCUCGAUGUUGGAUUAUCGCAUCCUGGAGCUGUAAAAGGUUCCAAGGGUUUGGCUGUUCGCCAAGAAAGGCGGUACAUGAUCUGAGUUUAGAACGUUGUAAAACAGUUUGGUCCCUAUCUACCGUAAGUGUUAAAAAUUGAAAGGAGUAGACCCUAGUACGAGAGGACCGGGAAAAGUGAAUCCCUGGUCAAUCGAUUGUUAUUUUAAUAGCAUAGUCGAGUAGCUAUAUUCAUAAUAGAUAAUUGUUGAAAGCAUUUAAACAAGAAACUAACCUUAAAAAAAAUUUUUUGAAAGUCGUAAAAGAUUAUUACGUAAUAGGCUUAAUGUGUAAGAGU
rnacentral:rRNA from 1 species